rnacentral:rRNA from 1 species
UACGGGGGGGGCAAGCGUUGUUCGGAAUUACUGGGCGUAAAGGGCUCGUAGGCGGCCAACUAAGUCCGACGUGAAAUCCCCAGGCUUAACCUGGGAACUGCGUCGGAUACUGGAUGGCUUGAAUUCGGGAGAGGGAUGCAGAAUUCCAGGUGUAGCGGUGAAAUGCGUGGAUAUCUGGAGGAAUACCGGUGGCGAAGGCGGCAUCCUGGACCGACAUUGACGCUGAGGAGCGAAAGCUAGGGGAGCAAACGGG